CCAAACGUGCAGCUUCUACGGCCCGACUCCCACGUUCCGCGUCCACGGCCCAACUAAUUUCCAAGCCCAACCAGGAGCGGAACUGGCAGCCAUCCCUCUCGGCCUCCUCCGCUCCGGCAGGAGGCGAGGCGGGGCGCCGCCGCAGCAAUCCGCGGCGACACGGCGUUGCGCGCAGUAGCGACGGCCGCGGCGGACAGCUGCCGGAGCGGGCCAUCAGUUCCUGCGCCACGCUCCCUCGAGAGAAAAUCACUUCUGGCGAAUCACAGUGGUGGGCAAGCAUAGGACCACACAACUUUGGAUUCCCGUCGAAGCUAGAACUUGGAAAUGUGCUCAGCUGGCCAGUGGUUGGAAUAGGCCCUUCUAGGUCGUUGUUGGAGAUAUUGAAUUUAGAAAGGAAAUGCAGAUUGUUUAGUGCGGUCGGGAUUGCACCUGUUAGAUGGUUGCUAGACAAGUCCAGUGCCUCGAGGUUUGUGAGGUUGCAGAUCGAUUGUGGGAUUGGUCCAGUUAAUUUGUUGUAGCCCAAAUAGAGUGAAAGGAGCGCUUUCAACUGACCGAUCUCUUCAGGGAUCACACCACUGAAGUUAUUCAUGCCUAAAUUCAGUGUCGUAGAGAAAGAAAUAAGCAUACGGAAUUGUCGUGAUUGACUCUUGUAAACAGGAAGCUCAAAGGCCUUUGAUGCAACCUUA